rnacentral:rRNA from 1 species
GACGAACGCUGGCGGCGUGCUUAACACAUGCAAGUCGAACGAUGAAGACCGGUGCUUACACUGGUUGGAUUAGUGGCGAACGGGUGAGUAAUACGUGAGUAACCUGCCUUUGACUCUGGGAUAAGCCUUGGAAACGAGGUCUAAUACCGGAUACGACUAACCUUCGCAUGAAGUGUUAGUGGAAAGGGUUUGUACUGGUUUUAGAUGGGCUCACGGCCUAUCAGCUUGUUGGUGAGGUAAUGGCUCACCAAGGCGACGACGGGUAGCCGGCCUGAGAGGGUGACCGGCCACACUGGGACUGAGACACGGCCCAGACUCCUACGGGAGGCAGCAGUGGGGAAUAUUGCACAAUGGGCGCAAGCCUGAUGCAGCGACGCCGCGUGAGGGAUGACGGCCUUCGGGUUGUAAACCUCUUUCAGCAGGGGAGAAGCGAAAGUGACGGUACCUGCAGAAGAAGCGCCGGCUAACUACGUGCCAGCAGCCGCGGUAAUACGUAGGGCGCGAGCGUUGUCCGGAAUUAUUGGGCGUAAAGAGCUUGUAGGCGGUUUGUCGCGUCUGCUGUGAAGCCCGGGGCUUAACUCCGGGUUUGCAGUGGGUACGGGCUAACUAGAGUGCAGUAGGGGAGACUGGAAUUCCUGGUGUAGCGGUGGAAUGCGCAGAUAUCAGGAGGAACACCGAUGGCGAAGGCAGGUCUCUGGGCUGUAACUGACGCUGAGAAGCGAAAGCAUGGGGAGCGAACAGGAUUAGAUACCCUGGUAGUCCAUGCCGUAAACGUUGGGCACUAGGUGUGGGGGACAUUCCACGUUUUCCGCGCCGUAGCUAACGCAUUAAGUGCCCCGCCUGGGGAGUACGGCCGCAAGGCUAAAACUCAAAGAAAUUGACGGGGGCCCGCACAAGCGGCGGAGCAUGCGGAUUAGUUCGAUGCAACGCGAAGAACCUUACCAAGGCUUGACAUAUACUGGACUCCCCUAGAGAUAGGGUUUCCCUUCGGGGCUGGUAUACAGGUGGUGCAUGGUUGUCGUCAGCUCGUGUCGUGAGAUGUUGGGUUAAGUCCCGCAACGAGCGCAACCCUCGUUCUAUGUUGCCAGCACGUGAUGGUGGGGGCUCAUAGGAGACUGCCGGGGUCAACUCGGAGGAAGGUGGGGAUGACGUCAAAUCAUCAUGCCCCUUAUGUCUUGGGCUUCACGCAUGCUACAAUGGCCGGUACAAAGGGUUGCGAUACUGUGAGGUUGAGCUAAUCCCAAAAAGCCGGUCUCAGUUCGGAUUGGGGUCUGCAACUCGACCCCAUGAAGUCGGAGUCGCUAGUAAUCGCAGAUCAGCAACGCUGCGGUGAAUACGUUCCCGGGCCU